AUGCCGCAUGGAACCUUGGCGUGUCGAUUUGUAAAGGAAAUAUGCCAUUCUUAUCUGCUUUAAAACGCGGAGAAAUCCUAUUGAUCUUUGAUUGUUUGUCGCUACAUGUGAUUAAGGUUGAUAUUAUAUCAAAAGAUAUGUUAUUGUGGACUGUUUUUGUCACUUUUUUGAACCAGAUAAACGAGUAGAAUUUGAAAUACAGCGAGAAACAGAAGAGAUUGAAACAGUGCAAUUUAUGCAAAUGACCCCCAGCAAAGCAUAGGGUGUCCAUUACACACACCGCGCUCUAAAUAGAUGUGAAGUACUUCCCGUAUAUUGUGUCUGCCUGAUUGUUUUUUGCACAAAUCUGAAAGAACAUGUUUGUAUAACAGGAUUUCUUGUGAUAAUUUUGCAGGAUAAUUAAGAGAUUAAAAUCAAUAU
rnacentral:sRNA from 1 species